UACGAAGGGGGCUAGCGUUGUUCGGAAUUACUGGGCGUAAAGGGCGCGUAGGCGGUUCGCUAAGUUGGAUGUGAAAACUCUGGGCUCAACCCAGAGCCUGCAUCCAAAACUGGCGGGCUAGAGUUCUGGAGGGGGUAGCGGAAUUCCUGGUGUAGCGGUGAAAUGCGUAGAUAUCAGGAGGAACACCGGUGGCGAAGGCGGCUACCUGGACAGAAACUGACGCUGAGGCGCGAAAGCUAGGGGAGCAAACAGG
rnacentral:rRNA from 1 species